rnacentral:rRNA from 1 species
GACGAACGCUGGCGGCGUGCCUAAUACAUGCAAGUCGAGCGGACUAAUGGGAGCUUGCUCCCGUUAGUUAGCGGCGGACGGGUGAGUAACACGUGGGCAACUUACCUGUAAGACUGGGAUAACUUCGGGAAACCGGAGCUAAUACCGGAUGACAUAAAGGAACUCCUGUUCCUUUAUUGAAAGAUGGCUUCGGCUAUCACUUACAGAUGGGCCCGCGGCGCAUUAGCUAGUUGGUGAGGUAACGGCUCACCAAGGCGACGGUGCGUAGCCGACCUGAGAGGGUGAUCGGCCACACUGGGACUGAGACACGGCCCAGACUCCUACGGGAGGCUGCAGUAGGGAAUCUUCCGCAAUGGACGAAAGUCUGACGGAGCAACGCCGCGUGAGCGAUGAAGGCCUUCGGGUCGUAAAGCUCUGUUGUUAGGGAAGAAUAAGUGCUAGUUAAAUAAGCUGGCACCUUGACGGUACCUAACCAGAAAGCCACGGCUAACUACGUGCCAGCAGCCGCAGUAAGAC